rnacentral:rRNA from 1 species
UACAGAGGGUGCGAGCGUUAAUCGGAAUUACUGGGCGUAAAGCGUGCGUAGACGGUUAUGUAAGUCGGGUGUGAAAGCCCCGGGCUCAACCUGGGAAUUGCAUUCGAGACUGUGUAGCUAGGGUGCGGAAGAGGGAAGCGGAAUUCCACGUGUAGCGGUGAAAUGCGUAGAGAUGUGGAGGAACACCAGUGGCGAAGGCGGUCUGCUGGGCCGUUGCUGACGCUGAGGCGCGACAGCGUGGGGAGCAAACAGG